CCUUAAACCUUGUUAGUCUCUCCUGCAAGUCGAACGCUUUUUCUUUCACCGGAGCUUGCUCCCUCGAAAGAAAAAGAGUGGCGAAUUGGAGAGUAACACGUGGGUAACCUGCCCAUCAGAAGGGGAUAACACUUGGAAACAGGUGCUAAUACCGUAUAACACUAUUUUCCGCAUGGAAGAAAGUUGAAAGGCGCUUUUGCGUCACUGAUGGAUGGACCCGCGGUGCAUUAGCUAGUUGGUGAGGUAACGGCUCACCAAGGCCACGAUGCAUAGCCGACCUGAGAGGGUGAUCGGCCACACUGGGACUGAGACACGGCCCAAACUCCUACGGGAGGCAGCAGUAGGGAAUCUUCGGCAAUGGACGAAAGUCUGACCGAGCAACGCCGCUUGAGUGAAGAAGGUUUUCGGAUCGUAAAACUCUGUUGUUAGAGAAGAACAAGGAUGAGAGUAGAACGUUCAUCCCUUGACGGUAUCUAACCAGAAAGCCACGGCUAACUACGUGCCAGCAGCCGCGGUAAUACGUAGGUGGCAAGCGUUGUCCGGAUUUUUUGGGCGUAAAGCG
rnacentral:rRNA from 1 species